UCCGGCAUUCCGCUCACCCAAGACGACCAGAUGUCCAAUUCAAUCGACGAUCGAGAUUGGGUGAGUGAAUUGAAUAUAAUUUAUUAAUUACCAUUUUGUAGGAGUUAGUAAUUACGAAUCAAGUUAAUAAUUCGUAAUAUUAUUGUUUGUGUAGGAGUGUGGUCCAGUUGAUCUACGACCUCCGCCCCCGAGGGCAUCGCCUCCAUCCCAGAGGGCAUCACCUUCGCCGCAAAGGGCAUCACCUUCGCCCCAGAGGACAUCACCUCCUGCAACCCUGUCCAGGGACCUCCCCCGUGGAUCUCCCGCACAUAUUCAGAGUUUUGAUGAUUUGUAUGCCCGUUUGAGGGGAUUUAUAGCAGAGCAGGUUAAUAGGUUGCGUCGAGAGAUGACAGAUAGGGUCGACGAUCUGGUAGGAAGGGUCUAAGAUUUGUCCGCUGAUGUUAGAGUGCUUCAGGAUGAGAUCGAAGCACUUCGAGGUGAUAUAGCCGGCAGGCGAUAGGUUGACAGCGAUGGUGACGGGGGGGUGACGGAGAUGGUGAUAGAGAUGAGGGUCAUCGGCAGUUGUGGUCCGAUGAUGCAUUGGAAUCUUUUCUAUUAUCCAUGGAGCGGGAGGGGAUGGGAUGAAUGGUAGAGGAGGUGGCGAGCCCCGAGGUGGAUGAGGUGGCGGUAGCUGGGGGUGGAGGAGGUGACGAUAGCCGGAGCAGAAAAGGGGGCAAGCCCCUAAAUGGAGGAGGUGGCAAGCACCGAGGUGGAGGAGGUGACGAUAGCUGGGUGGAGGAGGUGACGGUGGUCGAGGCGGAGGAGGAGAGAAUGGCCAUCGUGACUUAGGCAAACAAGCGUUCUGUUGACGUACCGGAGAUGGUGGUCGGCAAGAGGUCGAGAGUGUCGUCACAGUACAUCGUCUCUCCCUUCACCACUGAGACGAAGAGGAGGAGGUUCGUCGACGGGACGUACUCCAAUAUGUUCCGGGAGGUUGACCAUGCCAAAUGGAAAGCAUUCGAGGCUCAGUGGUGAGCAAUGUUGCCUGAGUAAGUAUUGUAUGAUUUAGUAGAGUACCAAUACUCGUAUAAGUUUCGUUUAACAUUUUCUUUUCUUUUUUCAGCACCACUCGUACGAUAGCCAGAAGAACGAUAUCGAACGCAUACAAGUGGUUCCAUAAUAUCACCACUCAGGGGGCUUAGCUCGCCGAAAAUGUAAGUGAAGUGUUAUUGCUACUGUUUGUACACAUUACGUUUAAUUUGUUAAAUGAAAUAGUUAUUUAUUUCUUUUUCGUUUAUGUAGCACAUCGACAUGGCCAUGGACUUGUUGUGCGAUCGAGUUGAGAGAUAUCCACAAUCAUUCUACAAGCCUGGCCGAAUAAUACUGAACACCGAGUUCUUCCGUGCCGUUACCAUUGAGUAUCAGUCGCUCAAGCUUAUGGGUAACGAGUACGUGCUGCCCGCAGAUAUGCUCGAGUGGGUCAUCGGGUUGUCACCGACUGUUGGGGAAAAGCCGUGGAGGGCUGUACGCAUACGUACAUUCCAGUGAUCAUCAAUCGUCACUGCAAUGCACUAAAGAUUGUGUUCCCUGAGUCGAAAAUAUAUGUAUAUGACCCCGAUCAUUCAUGUCUGACGCAGGGGCAAAUCGAGCAGGACUUAGAGCCGGUGACUGUGAUCGUUCCUAUGAUGGCUAGACGGGCGAGCUUGACUAUACAGGACAGACUAGCCAUCAUUCGGGAUAAGACGACGGCUAGGCAGUCUAUAUCGUAAGUGUUUGUAAUCUUUUUUAAAAAUUAAAUUGGAACCAAACUAAUACAAUAUUGUUCAUUUGCAGGGGCAACUGUGGCAUUUUCGCAAUCAAGUACAUAGAAUUUUUGAGUAUAGCACAUAAGGUUGAUGGAUUCAACCAGUUAUGGAUACAGAAUUGGCGGAAUAAGUUAG
rnacentral:lncRNA from 1 species